rnacentral:rRNA from 1 species
UACGUAGGGGGCAAGCGUUGUCCGGAAUUAUUGGGCGUAAAGAGCGCGUAGGCGGUCCGAUAAGUCGGCUGUGAAAGUCAGGGGCUCAACCCUUGGAAGCCGGCCGAUACUGUCGGACUAGAGUCCGGAAGAGGCGAGUGGAAUUCCACGUGUAGCGGUGAAAUGCGUAGAGAUGUGGAGGAACACCAGUGGCGAAGGCGACUCUUUGGCCUGUAACUGACGCUGAGGCGCGAAAGCGUGGGGAGCAAACAGG